rnacentral:miRNA from 1 species
UGGUGGACUCCAAUUCGCAUA